UACGUAGGCAGCAAGCGUUGUUCGGAAUUACUGGGCGUAAAGGGCGCGUAGGCGGCCUUCUAAGUCAGACGUGAAAUCCCCCGGCUUAACCUGGGAACUGCGUCUGAUACUGGAGGGCUUGAGUAUGGGAGAGGGAUGUAGAAUUCCAGGUGUAGCGGUGAAAUGCGUAGAUAUCUGGAGGAAUACCGGUGGCGAAGGCGGCAUCCUGGACCAUUACUGACGCUGAGGCGCGAAAGCUAGGGGAGCAAACGGG
rnacentral:rRNA from 1 species